rnacentral:rRNA from 1 species
UAGUCCACGCCCUAAACGAUGAUUACUCGAUGUGUGCAAUACACCGUACGCGUCUAAGCGAAAGCGUUAAGUAAUCCACCUGGGAAGUACGUUCGCAAGAAUGAAACUCAAAGGAAUUGACGGGGGCCCGCACAAGCGGUGGAGCAUGUGGUUUAAUUCGAUGAUACGCGAGGAACCUUACCAGGGCUUAAAUGCAUAUUGACAGACUUAGAGAUAGGUUUUCCUUCGGGCAAUUUGCAAGGUGCUGCAUGGUUGUCGUCAGCUCGUGCCGUGAGGUGUCAGGUUAAGUCCUAUAACGAGCGCAACCCCUGCCGUUAGUUGCCAGCAUGUAAAGAUGGGGACUCUAACGGGACUGCCGGUGCAAACCGCGAGGAAGGUGGGGAUGACGUCAAAUCAUCACGGGCCCUUACGUCCUGGGGCCACACACGUGCUACAAUGGCCGGGUACAGAGAGCAGCCACGCCGCAAGGGCGGAGCGAAUCUACAAAA